GACGAACGCUGGCGGCGUGCUUAACACAUGCAAGUCGAACGGAAAGACGCGGCUCUUGUGGCUUUCUCGAUUGGCGAACGCGUGAGUAACACGUGAGGAACCUGCCCUUAACUUUGUGAUAACUUCAGGAGACUGGGGCGAAUACCGGAGAGAAGCUCCUGCUGCAUAGGGGUGGUUGGAGAAUGUCGGCUGUUGGGGAUGGACUCGAGGGUUAUCAGCUUGUUGGGGGGGUAGUGGCUUACCACGGCUUUGACGGGUAGGCGGCAUGAGAGGGUGAACGGCCACCAUGCGACUGCGAUAGGCACCAGAAUCCUACGGGAGGCAGUAGUGGAGAAUAUUGCGGAAUGGGCGGAAGCCUGAUGUAGCAACGCUGCGUGCGGGAUGAUGGCUUUCGGGUUGUAAACAGCUUUGUCAUGUGCUGAAGAGUGCGUGACGGUAACGGGUCAAGAAGCCACGGCUAACUACGUG
rnacentral:rRNA from 1 species